rnacentral:rRNA from 1 species
UACGGGGGGGGCAAGCGUUGUUCGGAAUUACUGGGCGUAAAGGGUCUGUAGGUGGCCAACUAAGUCAGACGUGAAAUCCCUCAGCUUAACUGGGGAACUGCGUCUGAUACUGGUUGGCUUGAGUGCAGGAGAGGAAUGCGGAAUUCCAGGUGUAGCGGUGAAAUGCGUAGAUAUCUGGAGGAACACCGGUGGCGAAGGCGGCAUUCUGGACUGCAACUGACACUGAAAGACGAAAGCCAGGGGAGCAAACGGG